rnacentral:rRNA from 1 species
CCGCCAGAGUANUACGAGCCUCAGCUUAAAACUCAAAGGACUUGGCGGUGCCCUAAACCCCACCAGAGGAGCCUGUUCUAUAAUCGAUAAUCCACGCAAUACCUCACCAUCUUUAGCUUUAUCAGCUUAUAUACCACCGUCAUCAGUUAACCUUGUAAAUGAGAUAUAGUUAGCAAUAAUGAUUUAAUCAAAUACGUCAGGUCAAGGUGUAGCACAUAAGAUGGAAAGAUAUGGGCUACAUUUUCUUGAUCAAGAAUAUUACGAAUAUUAUUAUGAAAACAAUAAUUUAAGGUGGAUUUGGCAGUAAGAAGGUAUAAUAAUGCCUUUCUUAAGCCGGCCCUGCGGCGCGC